UACGUAGGGUGCAAGCGUUGUCCGGAAUUAUUGGGCGUAAAGAGCUCGUAGGCGGUUUGUCGCGUCUGCUGUGAAAAUCCAGGGCUUAACCCUGGACCUGCAGUGGGUACGGGCAGACUGGAGUGCGGUAGGGGAGAUCGGAAUUCCUGGUGUAGCGGUGAAAUGCGCAGAUAUCAGGAGGAACACCGGUGGCGAAGGCGGCAUCCUGGACCGAGAUUGACGCUGAGGCGCGAAAGCCAGGGGAGCAAACGGG
rnacentral:rRNA from 1 species